UGCAGCAGGGUGCUCACUGCUAAUCACAUGAGGAGCCACAAGGGGGUGGCCAUUGACAGUGAGACAAGUCCCAAGAUGGCAAUACCCUGUCAUGUGGCAGAGGGCUGCAAGAUGGCAGCUGUCUCCCACCCAAGCUGCAGCAACCAUGUGGCCUGCCAGAAGGCUGGAACGCCCGAGACCAAGUAUGUGGGUUUUACUGGGAGCGAACAGCACAGCACACACGGGACGACAGGAACGGCAGUGCAGUGUCGCGCUGGCCCUGCUGCACGGCACACUGUGCCCUGUGCAGCCCCACAGAGCCUCAGCAUCAGCCUGGGGAGCGGAUCUGGUGAGGAGGGAAGUGGUUUAAAGGAAAAGCAGUCACCCUUUCCACAGAGAGUUUUCCCUGCACCAGUGACAAGUGCCCGCGCAGCCGGCUCCUCAGCCAAGUGGGCUCACUGGGGCUGGGCAUUUAACUCAGCAGCAUAAGCACCCGCCUUGCAAGUGUGCAGUUGUGAGUUCAAUCCCUGGUACUGAUAGAAACGAAAAAGACAAAAAAAAAAAAAAAGUACCAAGUGGGCUCACAGCCCGACGGCCCACAGCUUGACUCGCCUGCUCUCUGUGAUACGUGCUGAAGAGAAUCUUGGUCCCUUUUCUCAGUAACUGCUGUACUUAGCGCAUGUUUCCUGCUAUGCUAUUGCAUGAUGAACAGGGAUGCAGCAGUGAAGUGUGCUUUGCACAGCGCUGUGAAAGGUGACUCAUCUGCAGGUUCCUCAUGUAACGUGCUCCCUUGGGUGCUUUUAGUACAUGCAGAGCUCUGCAGCCUCACUGUCGUCAGCAUCAGGAUAUUUGCACCAGUAGCAAGGUUUUGACCUAGUAUGGUCAUUGUGCAGUUUAUACUGCAGGGCUUUGGUUUCUGUGUCUCAGAUGGUGUCCUGCUGUUUCACUCAGGCUCUUCUCAUGCUCUUGGUCUCAGCCACCUGAGCACUGGGAUUGCAGGUGCACUCCACUGUGAGCGGCUUCGCACGGACUUGAACCCGAGGCCUUGCGCAUGGUAGUCACGUGCUCUACUGUGAACUACAUCUCUGGUGAAAUUUUAUGGUUUUGGUUUUUUAUUUUUUUGAGUGCUGGGUAUCAAAAUCACAACCUUGUACUCACCAUGCAAGCACUUGUGCCACUGAGCUGAGGCCCCAGCCCCUGGUUUUAUGUAUUUUUACUGAGCUUUGCAGUCCAUAAACAGCUUUUCUUUGUUAUUUGUUUGUUUGUUUGUUUUACCAUGGAUCAAACUCAGGACCUUGUGCUUGCCAGGCAGGCGCUGUGCUGCUGAGCUGUGUCCCUGGUUUCCCAAAGCAGCUUUUAUAAAUGCCUGUAUUUCCAUUUGUUGAUGACAUCGCAGGGUACACAGACAUCCAGAGAUUUAUGUCACUGUUUGAAUCAAACAGACAUGUGCUUAAACGUUUCCCUGAAUUUGGAACUCCUGACAUGGAGGAGCUUAUUAGUUUUCGGUGUAUCCCCAUAACACAUGCACAGAUCACCAACUUCCUCUGCUCUGUGACUGCUAAUGUCCCUUCAGUGUCUAGCACUCAGGAGUCAGCACUUGCUGAACCUGUGCUUGUGCAAGGCUGGUGUCCUGCUGGAGCUGGGAAGAUGCGCUGACUGCUGCUGGCUUUGCCCCAAGCGGUGUGGAUUACAUAAGGGCAGGCUUGUUGUGUGUGUGCGGGUCUGCAGGUCUUCCUUUGGGGAGACUCAGGAGGGCUGUGAGCAGAGGCAUUGUCCUCUGAGGUUUGGUGCUGGCUUCUCCCUGUUUGUGUGGAUCCCUCACCUGUCACCUUUGCCGGCCUCACUGUCCCUCAGUGCUCACCCUGCUGUGUCGAUUCCUGUGCAGGUGAGGAAGAUAGCAGCGGAAUACUAUGACAACCUGCCCCACUACAAUUCCUGGGUGAAGGUGCUGUACGACUUUGUGAUGGAUGAUACCAUAAGCCCCUACUCCAGAAUGAAGAGGGCUCCAAAAGGGCAGGAGGUGCUGGAGUAAAGCUCAUCACAGCAGAGGAAUCCCCUGCGAAGCCUGGGAAUAGCCGACCCAGUGUACUCUGUGAGAGGAGGCCUCAGGUCAGCAGUGCUUACGAGCCAGCCGCCUCACCCACUUGUGUUUCGGCUGGGAUCUCAGUGGAGUCAGCCUGGCCCUGUGUGCUCAGCUUACCUCGCUUGCUGUGAUCUCUUCCCUGGGAAGGGGCGUCUCCUCCCACGUCUGUCAUUGUGUAAGCAGAGUUUUACUUUACUAAAACAGCUAAUAAACUAAAAUAUGGAUUUCA